rnacentral:misc_RNA from 1 species
AAACGAACUAUAUAUAUUCAACAUUUCAUAAUUUAUAUUGUAAAAUUAACAACAAACUCUCUUACAAGUUGCAACAACACAAUAUUACACAUGCUAUACUUGCUACCAACACAAGAAGGACACACCUUAGAAAAUUACAACAUUUGAAAUAUAAACAAUAAUAAACUCUUCUUUACAAGACAACUUUUCAUAAUUUAUAUUGUAAAAUU